AGCGGAUGGUCUAGUGGAUAGGACGGUUGACAUUUGCUCCAUGGCUCCAGGGGUCAUUCGUUCGAGCCCCGUUGAAGGUUA
rnacentral:tRNA from 1 species